rnacentral:rRNA from 1 species
CCUACGAGAGGCAGCAGUGGGGAAUAUUGGACAAUGGGGGAAACCCUGAUCCAGCGACGCCGCGUGAGUGAAGAAGUAUUUCGGUACGUAAAGCUCUAUCAGCAGGAAAGAAAAUGACGGUACCUGACUAAGAAGCUCCGGCUAACUACGUGCCAGCAGCCGCGGUAAUACGUAGGGGGCAAGCGUUAUACGGAUGUACUGGGAGUAAAGGGAGCGUAGACGGCAGCGCAAGACUGGAGUGAAAUGCCGGGGCCCAACCCCGGAACUGCUCUGGAGACUGUGAGGCUGGAGUGCAGGAGAGGUACGCGGAAUUCCUGGUGUAGCAGUGAAAUGCGUAGAUAUGAGGAGGAACACCGGCGGCGAAGGCGGCUUACUGGGCUGUAACUGACGUUGAGACUCGAAGGCGUGGGGAGCAAACAGGAUUAGAUACCCUAGUAGUC